rnacentral:rRNA from 1 species
AUGGCGCCGUUCGUGAGCAAGAACCCGAGGGGCGCGUACGUGAAUUACCGGGACCUUGACAUUCGUACGAACAAGGUGGUCGACGGCGCGACGAGCUAUGAAAGUGCCAAGGUGUGGGGCGAAAGUUAUUUCGGCCAGGAAAACUUUAGGAGACUAGCGAAGAUAAAGCGCAAGGUGGACGCCGACGACUACUUCCGGAGUGAGCAGAGCAUCCCACCACUUCCCUUGAAGCAGUAG